rnacentral:rRNA from 1 species
GAUCCUGACUCAGGACGAACGCUGGCGGCGUGCUUAACACAUGCAAGUCGAACGAGAAUCUGUGGAACGAGGAUUCGUCCAAGUGAAGCAGAGGACAGUGGCGGACGGGUGAGUAACGCGUGAGGAACCUGCCUUUCAGAGGGGGACAACAGUUGGAAACGACUGCUAAUACCGCAUGACACAUUGAAGUCGCAUGGCUUUGAUGUCAAAGAUUUAUCGCUGAAAGAU